UAUUAUAGUUUGAUCAUGGCUCAGAAAUCAACGCUGGCGGCGUGCCUAACACAUGCGAGUCGAACGACGAAAGUCCGCAAGGCACUGACGCUACAGUGGCGAACGGGCUGAGAUAACACGUGACUACCGUACCACUCGNAGUGAGNGGAAUAACCCCGAGGCAAACCAGGCGGACCUAACGUACCCGCAUAACUCAUCGCCAGAGAAGCAAAAACUGCGCAAACAG
rnacentral:rRNA from 1 species